CCUCAGAGAAACUAACCAGCCAUAUCAUGCAGAUCGGUAUCGUAGAUAAAGGAAUUUAAAUCCAGUGCCAUACAGUGCAGAGUACAUGGGUCACAAAUUGCACAUUGACCAAAACGAGAAACUGGUGAUGUAUGGGGUGACCCACGUCCUUGCCGUGGACGGAUUCUCCAGCAACAUUAAUCAUAUUAUAGAAAGGAUGUGGCCAGAGGUAAACAACAGGGUAAACUACCCUCUGAAAGGCGCACUCAACCACCUUGUUGACCAGGAGGAACUAAACCU